GUUAGGAAUAACAACCUCACAUGGCACCGGGGCUGGCACAGCAGUGGGAGACAUGGGCCCUGGGGGAACACUGCCGCUGCCUAUAGCACACUGCACUGCCACAAAUAGCUCUGCAGGCUAUUUUAGGAUCUUCCUUGCAAUGCUGCAGCAGCACUACCUGGACAGAGAGACACGACCCCAAACUGUCCAAGCCACAGGAUAACGGGGGGGCUGGAGCGUAUCCCAGCAUGCACAGGGCGGAGGGCAGGGAAAACGCUCCGAAAAGGCCGCCGGUCCACAAGUCUAAAAUUAAUAUCAUGACAAUGAUAAAUUAUGUUCAUAUCGAAAUAUAACAAUAUCUGCUAAUGUAUGCAAAAUCAGAUAUUUAAUUGACGUUCAUCACACUGAACUGCAUGGUAGUAAAAAAAUUAUAGUAGACAAUUGUCAGACAAUAUUCCCUAAUGUGUUUCAGAUUUAAUUUUGUGAGAUAAUAAUAGGUAUUUCAUUAUUUCACUUUUUUCAUUAUUUUAGGUAUUUUUAUCCUUAAUUUGGACAAAAGAAUGAUGUGCAAUGAUAACCCUAUAAUUGGUAUUUCUGCACAACAUGGCUGCAAUAAGACAAAUAAUAACAUUCAAUUACUGCCCAGUGUAAGAUCACUCAAUAAAGCAAACAUCUUGCAAACAUCUAUUAAAGAAAUCUCUUAUACAUGGCUCAUAUGAACCAUCUGAAUUAUUCAGCUGAGUGAGCCACAUUUGUAUUCACCAUCUUCCUUCAUUAAAACAGCUUUAUUGUGUAAUUUGAUAUUGUUUCCUUGUAUUAUUUUUGUUAAUUUACAUAAUUAUCUAACCCUGUUUAUAUUUCUGUGUAUUAGGAGGAGGUCAGGGCACCUCUUGGCUCCUCCUGAACAUUGUUUGUUGUCUAUUUUAAAUUAAAGUAUUGCGUCUG